rnacentral:rRNA from 1 species
AGUGAACGCUGGCGGUAGGCCUAACACAUGCAAGUCGAACGGCAGCACAGUAAGAGCUUGCUCUUACGGGUGGCGAGUGGCGGACGGGUGAGGAAUACAUCGGAAUCUACUUUUUCGUGGGGGAGAACGUAGGGAAACUUACGCUAAUACCGCAUACGACCUACGGGUGAAAGCAGGGGAUCUUCGGACCUUGCGCGAUUGAAUGAGCCGAUGUCGGAUUAGCUAGUUGGCGGGGUAAAGGCCCACCAAGGCGACGAUCCGUAGCUGGUCUGAGAGGAUGAUCAGCCACACUGGAACUGAGACACGGUCCAGACUCCUACGGGAGGCAGCAGUGGGGAAUAUUGGACAAUGGGCGCAAGCCUGAUCCAGCCAUACCGCGUGGGUGAAGAAGGCCUUCGGGGUGUAAAGCCCUUUUGUUGGGAAAGAAAAGCAGCAGGUUAAUACCCCGCUGUUCUGACGGUACCCAAAGAAUAAGCACCGGCUAACUUCG